rnacentral:rRNA from 1 species
AGCAAACGCACGAAGGCGUACACAGCUACCGAGGACAAACUUCUAUGCGAGUGUUGGCGAGACAUUGGACAAGACCCAAAGAUGGGCGUCGAGCAAAAGCAUUCAACCUUUUGGACUCGUGUGCACCGCGAGUUUCAUGAGCGCAAGAAGUUUCCACCCUACCAAUUUGUGAGCACGCGUGGGUGGGUCUCCAUUUCCAAGCGUUGGAGGGUAAUCCAACAAGAGUGCAACAAGUUUUGUGUCACCCUUGAGAGCGUCAAGGCCCGCCCCGUGAGCGGCAUCGGCGUGCAAGACAUGGUAUGA